rnacentral:rRNA from 1 species
CAGCCGCCGCGGUAAUACGUAGGGUGCGAGCGUUAAUCGGAAUUACUGGGCGUAAAGCGUGCGCAGGCGGUUAUAUAAGACAGAUGUGAAAUCCCCGGGCUCAACCUGGGACCUGCAUUUGUGACUGUAUAGCUAGAGUACGGUAGAGGGGGAUGGAAUUCCGCGUGUAGCAGUGAAAUGCGUAGAUAUGCGGAGGAACACCGAUGGCGAAGGCAAUCCCCUGGACCUGUACUGGCGCUCAUGCACGAAAGCGUGGGGAGCAAACAGGAUUAGAUACCCCCGUAGUCCCUGUCUCUUAUAA